UACGUAGGGGGGCUAGCGUUGUCCGGAUUUAUUGGGCGUAAAGAGCGUGUAGGCGGCUUGGUAGGUCCGCUGUGAAAACUCGAGGCUCAACCUCGAGAUGUCGGCGGAAACCACUUGGCUAGAGUCCGGAAGAGGAGAGUGGAAUUCCCGGUGUAGCGGUGAAAUGCGCAGAUAUCGGGAAGAACACCCGUGGCGAAGGCGGCUCUCUGGGACGGUACUGACGCUGAGACGCGAAAGCGUGGGGAGCGAACAGG
rnacentral:rRNA from 1 species